AAUCAGUUCCUUCUUAUGUUUACAUCUUCUCAUUCAACCCAAUCAUCCAAUCUGUUUAUCUUUCAAAGGUGUAUAACCCAUAUAGCUUUGAUUCAACACAUCAACCACUAGCUUUUGUGCCAUUUACUGCAGGACCCAGAAACUGCAUUGGGCAGAACUUUGCCAUGGCAAAGAUAAAGGUAGCCCUGGCACUAACACUGUUUAGGUUUGUGGUGCAGUUGGAUGAGAUCUGUAUGGCGCAAGCCAGAGCAAAUCCUGCAGACAGAGAAUGGGCUGUGGCUGUGAGUGAAACCAAUCCAUGCUGAAUCUUGAUCAGAAGUUCUAUACAGAAGAUUUACAUUUGCUGAUCUACAACCUGGAAUCUAUAUUUUAAUGUGCCAAGAGGAUUUUGGACCAGAGAUGCUUUUUGCUUCAAGCUUUGUAGAAGGCAGGAUAGAUUGUUAUUUUGCACACAUCUUUCCAUGUCUGUCUAUGUCUCCUAGUCUAUUAAUUGUUGCUUAGCUCUAGUUUUUUUGCUACUAUGAAGAUCUCCAAGAGAUAUUCUAAAUUACAGCCAUAUGAAAUAAAUUCUUGGCUUGGUUUUAAAUAUUUAGGUAAUGGUAUUUCUAUAGGGUCAAGCUUCAAGGUUUUCAAAAAAAGAUUGGACAGUCAUUUAGAAUUGUCUAUGAUGCAAUAUAGUCUCCUGCCUUGGCAGGGGUUGGACUUGAAGAUCUCCAAGGUUCUUUCCAGCCUUAUGAUUUUAUAAUUCUAAGCUAUUCAAUGACAACUGUCUGCAAAAUUGUAGCCCAAAACUUCCAGCGCAAGAACAAAUGUAUUCUGAAUAUUCCAAAUAUCAUGUCUGUUGGCUUUCAAUGCUGUUUUUUUUAUGUACUGCUAUUAUCAUACUAUCCCUUCCAAACGGAAUUUCUAAUCCUUUCUAACAAAAGCAAUUUCCAUUCAGGAAAAUCUUCAUUGUGAGGAAAGUAUAAGGAAAGAGUAUUAAAUAUGUUCACCACCUUGAGUUAUUGUAAAAAUAAUAAAGGUGGGAUACAAAUACAUAAACAAAUAAACAAAGUUUCAUUCAGGUGUGAUGAGACAACCCAUUUUAGCUUAGUUUAAUUAAUAUUUUAUUCAUGGAUUGAUAACCCAUUUUUAAUCAUAUAUUGUUUUUGUUUAGCACAUAGAAAUAACUAGAUUGCUUUUUCCUAUUGGAAGUGCCUUGAUCAUUGGUUGAUUUGCUAUUUAGGCCAUAGUAAUAGAUGAAAACCAGGCCACCUGUUUUCUUCCCUUGCAAUACCUACUCACCAAGGGGAUUGAUGAGACUAGGUACCAAGCUUUUAGUGUAUUAUGUUAUUGAUAGCACAUCUUGUAACUUUACUUGAAUUAGGUUACAAUGACUAAUAAAAAUGUAUGCAUGA